rnacentral:rRNA from 1 species
AAUAGAUACCCUGGUAGUCCACGCCGUAAACGUUGGGCGCUAGGUGUGGGGGCCAUUCCACGGUCUCCGUGCCGCAGCUAACGCAUUAAGCGCCCCGCCUGGGGAGUACGGCCGCAAGGCUAAAACUCAAAGGAAUUGACGGGGGCCCGCACAAGCGGCGGAGCAUGUUGCUUAAUUCGAUGCAACGCGAAGAACCUUACCUAGGCUUGACAUGCACGGAAAUCUCGCAGAGAUGCGGGGUCCGUAAGGGCCGUGCACAGGUGGUGCAUGGUUGUCGUCAGCUCGUGUCGUGAGAUGUUGGGUUAAGUCCCGCAACGAGCGCAACCCUCGUUCCAUGUUGCCAGCGCGUAAUGGCGGGGACUCAUGGGAGACUGCCGGGGUCAACUCGGAGGAAGGUGGGGAUGACGUCAAAUCAUCAUGCCCCUUAUGUCUAGGGCUGCAAACAUGCUACAAUGGCCGGUACAAAGGGCUGCGAUACCGUGAGGUGGAGCGAAUCCCAAAAAGCCGGUCUCAGUUCGGAUUGGGGU